rnacentral:miRNA from 1 species
CGAGGCGUGGUGGGCGGUAAUAU